rnacentral:lncRNA from 1 species
CGGAGCCCCACCCCACAGCCCCAGCCCCCUCCCCACCUGGGGAGGCUGAGACAGAAGCAGCUGGGCCCCCCAAAGUGCCUGAGCCCAGGGCAGGGAGCAGCACAUAUGCCCAGCAGGGACAAUGUCACAGCCUCUCAGCGGCCAGGCAGCAGGACCCAGAGACCUCUGGGAGGUUCCUGGGGCCGGCCCUGAGCCUCGUCCCCCAGGGGCCAGCCGUGGGGUGCAGACCACACUCUCCCUCCAGGGCCCAUCACUGGGGCUGAGGCGGGCGGGGCCGGUGCCCAGCUGCGAGACCAUGGGAUAGGGAAGGCAGGUGCUUGGGGCCACGCAGCCCUGCACUGGGGGCCCCUCCACCCCAGGCGGCUCAUGAGGUGUCAUCUGGAGCUGUCCCCAAGCCGGGCUCUGCAGGUUGACCUCCCCCACCCGGGGCUAUCUCCAGACCCCCUUUCCUCCCUGGGGAGAUGGGGCGGUCCCCCGCAGGGCCAACUGAAACCACCCCCCACGCUGCUGCCGCCUGAGCGACGUGUGUGGGGAAGAACUUGGAGUGCCACCCCCAGAAUGUGGCAUCCGCCUCACCAGACCCCACGGGUGAGCCCUGCACUGCAAGGUGCAUAUAACACAAGGUUUGGACACACCUGGAGAGCUUGGGCCAGGCAGGGCCACACCUGUGAGCCUGAGCUCAUCCAACACCGCCCGGAGCUCGGGGACCUUCCCCAUCCCAGCACCUCCUCGCCGCUGUGCCCGUCUGGCCAGUCCCUCCAAGCACCCCUCGGAUGAAGAUGUGCCCCACACUGCAGUGGGGCUCACUCUCCACAGCACCUGCUGCGUUGCAUGGGGUGUGACAGGAAGGACCCUGCUGGGGCUGGCUGGGCCGUACCCAGAGCCUCCCUGUGCGGUUGCUCCCCCUCCUCCUCCCCUCCGUAAGCACUGGGAACAAAACAGAAAAAAGUCUUUGUAUAGUAAUAAAGUCUGCGGUUCACACACCCAU